UAUGAAGCCGCCAGGGUUUGGAAAUGAAGCUUUCUGAAUAAUGAUUUUAGAACUUAGUGUUAUUAGCUGUUAAUAUCUAUCGAAAUAAGCAGGGAGGUUUUUUGUCACCCAUUAUUUUUUUUGCAUGCGAAUCGUGUGAAAGAGGAGGACCUGCCGUUUUUGUUUCAUAUUUUGUUUACAAGACAUUUUGUCUGAUAUCGACCAUAGCCACGCCUACUUGUAAUGACUAAUGAAAUCCAACUUUAUGAAAAUCUAGCACACAUAAAAUUUGCUUUUAUUUAUAAAUUUUUUUCAUUAAUUUAUGCGUAAGUAAAAAAAAAAUACUAACAGUUAAUAAAAAAUAUGUACUGCGGUGAGAGGUUUGUUUUGUAAUACUUUUCUAAAGAUGAAUUGAUUGAAGUCUAAUGGAUUAAAUUUACACAGUCUGAUCAAUGAUUUACUGUUAAUUCAAUCACAAAUUGUUUUAAACGAUGAAAUUUCACAAAUUAAGUUCGCAUUUAAUAAAAUAAUAUAGUCCAAGUUUCAGAAGCGGGAAUUCUUUCUGUUCAUUCAACUUGCGAUUACAAAAUAUGAAAGCUUGUAGCAAUUGAAUUCUCUAGUGCUAUUUUAGUAAUCUCAGCUACAAACUGUUGAACGUGAACAUAUGUUCCGCAAUUUAAUCAGUAUUUACUCAUUUAUCUUGAUGGUUAAUAUAAUUAAUUAAGAGAAUUAUGUGACAAAUUUUAGUUUUUCAUAUCCAAAUAAAAUUAUUCAGAGUUUAAUUUUCAGAUGAAAUAUUGAUUUAGUUGCUUGUGAAAAAAAUAUAGUUUUAUUAAUUACUUAUAUUUACAUUUGUGUUUUUUUUUAAUUCUGUCAUUUCUUUAGAUUUAAAAUUCAUAAUUUUGAAUGCUUUUGGUUUGAUUAUGUUGAAUUGAAAUCUGUCUAGUAGUUUUGGUUUGACAAAUAUAUACAAUUUCACAUUCAAGUAAUUCAAAUCUGUGUGAUUAUUAAUUUUUUAAACUAUUAUAUAUAAAAAUUCAUGAUGUUCCUACACUUUCAGAUAACAGCUCAAAAAUUAAAUGUUAUUAAAUAAAAAAUAUAAUAUGAAGUUUUAUUUAUGAUUGAUUAUUACUGCCUUAUUUCUGUUCUGAAAUGAAAUUUACUUUAUUUUUAUUAUUGCAUUGUUAGAUACCACAGUACAGAAAGAAUGGAUAUGUUAACUAUUUAUGUAUAUCUUGCCUAAGAAACUUCCCAACCACUGAUGAAAGCUGGGAUUGGAUUGGAUUUGUAGUAUUUAGAGGUGCAAGAUCCAAUUCUGGCCAUACUGCGCCAGACAUAUGGUUAUAGGAAACCCAGCUCCAACUUUAUGCAUUAUCUUAAUAUGAAUAAAAAAUUGAACUUUU